rnacentral:lncRNA from 1 species
AGAAAGCUCCCUGAAACAAUACUGUACCAUCUUGUGCAAAGAUGCAUCUCCUGGAAUCCUGCACUGGCUGAUUUUUUCUUGUUCAGUGUCCAGCCUCUGCCUUGCAUUAGUUCUUACAGAUUGAAUUCAGCCAUAGGCAGGCCUGAAGAAGCAGAAGAUCCAAGCUUGUGUGGUGGAGCCAUGAUUUUCUUCCCAGUAAGGCCAAUCUCUUCCAGGACUUGGUAAGAAGCCAGGAGCUGCAUUUCAGCUGGACGGCAGAAGAGGAUGUGACUUGCUGAAGGCUCAUUUGCAGCACCAACUGGAACAUGACACUUAUAAAUUCUCAGACAGAGAAGAGAACUGAUGAGCAGGGCACACCACCAACGAAAAGUGCCAUCUGGGCCAGGAUUGCAGGGGAGAAGGGAAGAGAGAACAAAUGGCAAAUCAAAGGAAUGGAACUUGGGGCCUUGCACUUGCUAGGUAGGCGCUGCACUGCUGAGUUACAUCCUUGGCCUAAGUGACUACUACUUUUUCAGAGAAUUGUCCUUGGCUCUUUUAUCAAAUAAGUCACCCAGUCCUUUGUUUCCCUGUCAUCCUCUUUCAAUCUUUGCAAAGUAAUUAAUACUCUUUGAAAUUUUUCCUGUUAAUUGAUCAAUCAUUCUAAGUGUAUUUAUUGUCAGCAGUGUUGCCUUCCACCUGGCUGGGAGGGGCCCUUUGCUUAAGGAUUCCACUCUUACCCUCCUAUGGUCUUGCCCAUCCUAUGCAUUAAGGAUCCAUGAGGCAAAAGAUUGUGUCCCUUUCCCUGGAGUCCACACUGCCCUUUUCCCAGCAUAGACUAUACUAAGAGCAACUGAUGAUCAAGCAUUCCCUGUACAAAUUGCACUGAGCUGCUUCUACGACCUGCAUGAACCUCAUUUCUAGGUAUAUCCUUGCAAGAGGAAACAGAACUGUCUAUGGUGACAUCCCAAGGCCCAAGGAUGGACAGCCAGAGUAGUUUGCAGUACUUGUGGACAGGACCUGGACACAUAAUCUAGGAAUCCACAUGUGUGCUCAGGGCCACUUGUGGUGUGCAGAGUUGUGGGUGAAAUUAAAAAGGGAUGUGAGUAAAGGGGUGGAUUCCUACAAUUAGAGGAAUCCCAGAAUUCUGAAUUUGAAUCUAGAUUUCUAGGUUCUUGUAAAGGAAUAUUUGUCAAGGUAGGAGGAGAAUUCUUUUCUUUUUGGUGGUGCUAGAGAUUGAAACUAGGGCCUAGUACAUGCUAAGCAUGCACUCUACCCCUGAGCUAAAUCUCUAGCCUGAGGAAAUAUUUUAACUAAUAAUUUGUCAAUUGUUUGUAUUAUGACUUAAUUGUUUAGAUAUACAGUAGUUAGGCUUGCAUUUGUACAUUUGCCAAGGCCUCCAAAUAUAAGUGAUAGAACUGCUUGUCUGUAUCCCACAAGAUUCCACAGGGGCUGGGUCUUGUCUGUCUUGCCUCCUCAUCACCCAAAUCUGGCAAAGUGCCGAUUAUAAUGGGGGCACAACACCUAUUUGUGGAAUGAAAAAGAAAAUCCUCCUUUGCGUGCUGUGCCUUUUCUCUUGAAAAGAAUUUCAUGUCUUGAAUUUUCUUUAGCUGGAGACUGCUAUUGCUACCCCAUGGUUUAUUUUUAACAUUUUCCUAGUACAUUUGUUUUAUGCCUUUCAGUCUCAAGAUGUGUUAUUUUAGGUCCCUUUCUUAUAAACAGUAUUUGGCUAGAUUAAAAGAAAGUAAUGAGUCUCUGUCUUUUAACAGACUACAGUACUUAAUUCUUUCACAUUUAUUGUGAUUAUGUGUUGAAUUUAUUAUUGUAUUCUUUCUAUUUCUCUUUCCCCCCUCUCUCCUGAACACUAUUUUGAACCCCAUUCCUGACUUUUGGGUGAAGAUUGAGUUUUUCUAGGUUUCAUUGCCUUACUUUAUUUGUUUAGAAAUAAAUUACUUCUGUUUUGUAGUGAUUAAACUUUUGGUACAACAAAACAAAAUAAAACCUGAAAAC